rnacentral:rRNA from 1 species
UACGUAGGGUGCAAGCGUUGUCCGGAAUUAUUGGGCGUAAAGAGCUCGUAGGCGGUCUGUCGCGUCUGCUGUGAAAACUCGGGGCUUAACCCCGGGCCUGCAGUGGGUACGGGCAGACUAGAGUGCGGUAGGGGAGACUGGAAUUCCUGGUGUAGCGGUGAAAUGCGCAGAUAUCAGGAGGAACACCGGUGGCGAAGGCGGGUCUCUGGGCCGUAACUGACGCUGAGGAGCGAAAGCAUGGAGAGCGAACAGG